rnacentral:pre_miRNA from 1 species
UAUAAGGGAUUUUGAGUUUUUGCUUGCAACGUUUGAUCACUCGUCUUAUUCAAAAAAUUUUAAAAUUAUUAUUUAUUUUAUUAUCUACAGUACUUUAAGCACAACUUUUUGUUUUUUAUAUUUGUAAAAAAAAUUGAAUAAGACGAGUGGUCAAACGUUACAAACAAAAACUCA